rnacentral:rRNA from 1 species
CAUGCAGUCGAACGGUAACAUAGAAAGCUUGCUUUCUGAUGACGAGUGGCGAACGGGUGCGUAACGCGUAUGCAACCUACCUUUAAUCGGGGAAUACCCCAGAGAAAUUUGGAAUAAUACCCCAUAGUACAACGAAUUCGCAUGUUUUUGUUGUUAAAGUUUUGGCGAUUAAAGAUGGGCAUGCGUGACAUUAGCUUGUUGGUAAGGUAACGGCUUACCAAGGCAACGAUGUCUAGGGGUUCUGAGAGGAUGAUCCCCCACACUGGUACUGAGACACGGACCAGACUCCUACGGGAGGCAGCAGUGAGGAAUAUUGGACAAUGGACGAAAGUCUGAUCCAGCCAUGCCGCGUGAAGGAUGACGGCCCUACGGGUUGUAAACUUCUUUUAUGUAGGAAGAAACCCCCUCUCGUAAGAGGGGCUGACGGUACUACACGAAUAAGCACCGGCUAACUCCGUGCCAGCAGCCGCGGUAAUACGGAGGGUGCAAGCGUUAUCCGGAUUUAUUGGGUUUAAAGGGUGCGUAGGCGGGAUAUUAAGUCAGUGGUGAAAGCCUUCGGCUCAACCGAAGAACUGCCAUUGAUACUGAUAUUCUUGAGUACGGAUGAGGUAAGCGGAAUUUAUGGUGUAGCGGUGAAAUGCAUAGAUACCAUAAAGAACACCGAUAGCGAAAGCAGCUUACUAGACCGUAACUGACGCUGAAGCACGAAAGCGUGGGGAGCAUGCAGUCGCAUGCAGUCGGGUAGUC